GAUGAACGCUAGCGGCAGGCCUAACACAUGCAAGUCGAGGGGCAUCAUGGCGUAGCAAUACGCUGAUGGCGACCGGCGCACGGGUGCGUAACGCGUAUGGAACCUACCCACCGCAGGGGGAUAACCCGCCGAAAGGCGGACUAAUACCCCAUGGUUCCCCGACCCUGCCUGGGGUUGGGGGUAAAGCCUACGGGCGGCGGUGGAUGGCCCUGCGUGCCAUUAGCUGGCUGGUGGGGUAACGGCCCACCAGGGCGACGAUGGCUAGGGGGUCUGAGAGGACGAUCCCCCACACUGGUACUGAGACACGGACCAGACUCCUACGGGAGGCAGCAGUGAGGAAUAUUGCGCAAUGGGGGCAACCCUGACGCAGCAACGCCGCGUGAGUGAGGAAGGUUUUCGGAUUGUAAAGCUCUGUCGAGCGGAAAGAAAUGCACGAUGGCUAAUAUCCAUCAUGCUUGACGGUACCGCUAGAGGAAGCACCGGCUAACUCCGUGCCAGC
rnacentral:rRNA from 1 species